rnacentral:rRNA from 1 species
GAAGGGGGCUAGCGUUGCUCGGAAUUACUGGGCGUAAAGGGUGUGUAGGCGGAUAGUUUAGUCAGAGGUGAAAGCCCAGGGCUCAACCCUGGAAUUGCCUUUGAUACUGGCUAUCUUGAGUUCGGGAGAGGUAAGUGGAACUCCGAGUGUAGAGGUGAAAUUCGUAGAUAUUCGGAAGAACACCAGUGGCGAAGGCGACUUACUGGCCCGAUACUGACGCUGAAACACGAAAGCGUGGGGAGCAAACAGGAUUAGAUACCCUGGUAGUCCACGCUGUAAACGAUGAGUGCUAGUUGUCGGCAUGCAUGCAUGUCGGUGACGCAGCUAACGCAUUAAGCACUCCGCCUGGGGAGUACGGUCGCAAGRUUA